UCCUCGUGCCUGUACACCGAACGGUCGGCAGGCGAUCCGCGUCGGUUGCGCGAGGUGGUAUGGUUCCCCAGAGGCCGGUUCUUGUGCUGCCUACCCCUUCAGGGGAAGCGGGCCACUUGAUGUAAGCCUCCAUCCGGCGCCCUCCAACGGGCGCAGGAGGACAACAGAGCACCCCCUGCGUUCCACCGAGCCUUUGUCGGUCGCGUGGCAUGCGGGGAAGUGCGAUGCUCUCGGACCCAGCGAACACCGUGGGCAAGGACUCGCGUCCCAGUCCCGAUAGAAGCUUCGAUAUAAUGCUGACGGCCGCUCCCGCCCCCCGUCCGCCCCGGCGGCGCGUGGGCGAGGCGCGGCGUCGCGGAGGAAUGCUACCU
rnacentral:misc_RNA from 1 species